rnacentral:tRNA from 2 species
UCCUGGUUAGCUCGGUUGGUAGAGCGCUCCACUGGAAAUGGAGAGGUCCCCUGGUUCGACCCCAGGACCAAGCG